rnacentral:rRNA from 1 species
GACGAAUGCAAGAAGUUGUCCGAGAUUAUUGGAUUUCGAGGGCAGCGCAUGCGUUCCAGGAAAUAGCCUCCACAUAAUCCGUACCCGAAACCGACACAGGUGGUCAGGUAGAGUAUACCAAGGCGCUUGAGAGAACGACGCUGAAGGAACUCGGCAAAUUACCCUCGUAACUUCGGGAUAAGAGGGCCCCGUCUUUGGGCAACCAGGGGCGGGGGGCACAUACUAGGGGGUAGCGACUGUUUAGCAAAAACACAGGGCUCUGCGAAAUCGGAAGAUGACGUAUAGGGCCUGACGCCUGCCCGGUGCCGGAAGGUUAAGAGGAGAGGUUCACGCUUUGAAUCGAAGCCCCGGUAAACGGCGGCCGUAACAAUAACGGUCCUAAGGUAGCGAAAUUCCUUGUCGGGUAAGUUCCGACCUGCACGAAUGGCGUAACGACUUCCCACUGUCUCCAGCGUCGGCUCAGUGAAAUUGAACUCCCCGUGAAGAUGCGGGGUAAUUGCGGUCAGACGG